GGGACGGAGUCCGGCUCCCGUAGGAGUCCGGACGAAGCCUUCCUGCCGCCGUAGGGGUCACUCCUGAUAUGAACUUCGGCUGGGGGGGUUUUACACCCAACACUUAUCAAUAAUAAAAUUGAAAUCGGCUGGAAGUAAUUUAGAAUUGGUGAUAGGAACUCCCAAACCCCUUGUUUGCAAGGCAUAGCCAAGAUGGAGGAAAUGGUUCGCUUUAUAGAGGG
rnacentral:lncRNA from 1 species